rnacentral:rRNA from 1 species
GAUGAACGCUGGCGGCGUGCUUAACACAUGCAAGUCGAACGAUGAAGCCCAACUUGCUGGGUUGGUUAGUGGCGAACGGGUGAGUAACACGUGAGUAACCUGCCCUUCACUCUGGGAUAAGCGCUGGAAACGGCGUCUAAUACCGGAUACGAGCUUCCACCGCAUGGUGAGUUGCUGGAAAGAAGUUCGGUCAAGGAUGAACUCGCGGCCUAUCAGGUAGUUGGUGAGGUAACGGCUCACCAAGCCGACGACGGGUAGCCGGCCUGAGAGGGUGACCGGCAACACUGGGACUGAGACACGGCCCAGACUCCUACGGGAGGCAGCAGUGGAGAAUAUUGCACAAUGGGCGCAAGCCUGAUGCAGCAACGCCGCGUGGGGGACGAAGGCAUUCGGGUCGUAAACCUAUUUUAGCAGGGAAGAAGCGAAAGUGACGGUACCUGAAGAAAAAGCACCGGCUAACUACGUG